rnacentral:misc_RNA from 1 species
AAGUCGUAACAAGGUCUCCGUUGGUGAGCCAGCGGAGGGAUCAUUACAGAGUUAAACUAAACUCCAAACCCUUUGUGAACCUUACCUCCAGUUGCCUCGGCGCUCGCUGCGGCUACCCUGUAGUCCGCCCUGUAAAACGGGCGGCUACCCUGUAGCCGGCUCACGGCCCGCCGAAGGACCCCUAAACUCUGUUUAAAAUAGUGUAUUUCUGAAUGCUCCAAACAAAAUAAGUUAAAA